UACGUAGGGUGCAAGCGUUGUCCGGAAUUAUUGGGCGUAAAGAGCUCGUAGGCGGUUUGUCGCGUCUGCUGUGAAAACUCGGGGCUUAACUCCGGGCCUGCAGUGGGUACGGGCAGACUAGAGUGCGGUAGGGGAGACUGGAAUUCCUGGUGUAGCGGUGAAAUGCGCAGAUAUCAGGAGGAACACCGAUGGCGAAGGCAGGUCUCUGGGCCGAUACUGACGCUGAGGAGCGAAAGCUAGGGGAGCAAACAGG
rnacentral:rRNA from 1 species